rnacentral:siRNA from 1 species
AUAUAUCAAAAGUUGCAAUGGUUC